UUCAUGAAGCCGGAAUUGCUAGUAAUGGCAGGUCAGCAUACUGCCGUGAAUACGUUCCCGGGCCUUGUACACACCGCCCGUCACACCAUGAGAGUUGGGAAUACCCGAAGCCUGUGAGCUAACUUAUAGAGGCAGCAGUCGAAGGUAGAAUCAAUGAUUGGGGUGAAGUCGUAACAAGGUAGC
rnacentral:rRNA from 1 species